rnacentral:rRNA from 1 species
UUCUAGAAGUUGAUCCUGGCUUCAGGAUGAACGCUGGCGGCGUGCUUAACACAUGCAAGUCGAACGUGAACACGGAGCUGCUCUGUGGGAUCAGUGGCGAACGGUGAGUAACACGUGAGCAACCCUGCCCCUGACUCUGGGAAUAAGCGCUGGAAACGGCGUCUAAUACUGGAUAUGUGACGUGACCGCAUGGUCUGCGUUUGGAAAGAUUUUUCGGUUGGGGAUGGGCUCGCGGCCUAUCAGCUUGUUGGUGAGGUAAUGGCUCACCAAGGCGUCGACGGGUAGCCGGCCUGAGAGGGUGACCGGCCACACUGGGACUGAGACACGGCCCAGACUCCUACGGGAGGCAGCAGUGGGGAAUAUUGCACAAUGGGCGCAAGCCUGAUGCAGCAACGCCGCGUGAGGGAUGACGGCCUUCGGGUUGUAAACCUCUUUUAGCAGGGAAGAAGCGAAAGUGACGGUACCUGCAGAAAAAGCGCCGGCUAACUACGUGCCAGCAGCCGCGGUAAUACGUAGGGCGCAAGCGUUAUCCGGAAUUAUUGGGCGUAAAGAGCUCGUAGGCGGUUUGUCGCGUCUGCUGUGAAAUCCGGAGGCUCAACCUCCGGCCUGCAGUGGGUACGGGCAGACUAGAGUGCGGUAGGGGAGAUUGGAAUUCCUGGUGUAGCGGUGGAAUGCGCAGAUAUCAGGAGGAACACCGAUGGCGAAGGCAGAUCUCUGGGCCGUAACUGACGCUGAGGAGCGAAAGGGUGGGGAGCAAACAGGCUUAGAUACCCUGGUAGUCCACCCCGUAAACGUUGGGAACUAGUUGUGGGGUCCAUUCCACGGAUUCCGUGACGCAGCUAACGCAUUAAGUUCCCCGCCUGGGGAGUACGGCCGCAAGGCUAAAACUCAAAGGAAUUGACGGGGACCCGCACAAGCGGCGGAGCAUGCGGAUUAAUUCGAUGCAACGCGAAGAACCUUACCAAGGCUUGACAUAUACGAGAACGGCCAGAAAUGUCACUCUGCACC